AUUAAGAGCUUGCUCUUAUGAAGUUAGCGGCGGACGGGUGAGUAACACGUGGGUAACCUACCCAUAAGACUGGGAUAACUCCGGGAAACCGGGGCUAAUACCGGAUAAUAUUUUGAACUGCAUAGUUCGAAAUUGAAAGGCGGCUUCGGCUGUCACUUAUGGAUGGACCCGCGUCGCAUUAGCUAGUUGGUGAGGUAACGGCUCACCAAGGCAACGAUGCGUAGCCGACCUGAGAGGGUGAUCGGCCACACUGGGACUGAGACACGGCCCAGACUCCUACGGGAGGCAGCAGUAGGGAAUCUUCCGCAAUGGACGAAAGUCUGACGGAGCAACGCCGCGUGAGUGAUGAAGGCUUUCGGGUCGUAAAACUCUGUUGUUAGGGAAGAACAAGUGCUAGUUGAAUAAGCUGGCACCUUGACGGUACCUAACCAGAAAGCCACGGCUAACUACGUGCCAGCAGCCGCGGUAAUACGUAGGUGGCAAGCGUUAUCCGGAAUUAUUGGGCGUAAAGCGCGCGCAGGUGGUUUCUUAAGUCUGAUGUGAAAGCCCACGGCUCAACCGUGGAGGGUCAUUGGAAACUGGGAGACUUGAGUGCAGAAGAGGAAAGUGGAAUUCCAUGUGUAGCGGUGAAAUGCGUAGAGAUAUGGAGGAACACCAGUGGCGAAGGCGACUUUCUGGUCUGUAACUGACACUGAGGCGCG
rnacentral:rRNA from 1 species